GUUUGGGGCUUUUUGUGGUUGAGUUUAUGAUUUCAUUACAUAUUUUGGAUAUUAACUGCAAAUGUAUGGUUUACAAAAUUGUCUUCCAUUCUGCAUAUUGUCUUUUCAUUUCGUUGAUGGUUUUUUGCUGUGCAGAAGCUUUUCAGUUUGGUGUUGUCCCACUUGUUGAUUUUUUUUCCUUUUGUUGUUUGUGCUUUUGGUGUCAUAAAACAAAAUCGUUGCCAAACCAAUGUUGAGCAACUUCUUCCCUGUUUCCUUUUAGGAAUUUUAGAGUAUCAGGUCUUAUGUUUAAACCUGAGGCAUUUUGAGUUACUAUUUGUGAGUGGUGUAAGGAGGAGACCCUAUUUCAUGCUGCUGCCUGUGCUCAUCCAGUUUUCCCAUGUUCUGAGUAGACUGCCCUUCCCUUCCUGUAUGUUCUUGGCUCCUUAUCAAAUAUUAGUUGACUGUAUAUGUGAGGUUUAUUUCUGGUCUCUAUUCUGUUCCGUUGGUCUAUGCGGCUAUUUUUAUGCCACUACUACACUAUUUUAACUACUAUAGCUUUGUAGUAUAGCUUCAAAUCACAGCCAACUUUUAUAGAAGGAUUUCUACUCAACUGGAGAACUCUCCAUAAAAGGAUCUUUAAGUCUCAGUUGUGAAGCAUGGCCUCCAAAAUGCACUGGUCAUAAUAGCUGGCAAAAAGCAGGGUAAUGGAGGUGUAUCAGAAAACUCUGAACUGCUAUUCAAGGCUCCCAAUGUCUUUUUUUUUUUAAUUUUGAAAUAUUUAUUUUUGAGAGAGAAAAAGAGAGUGCGAGCCUGGGAGGGGCAGAGAGGGAGACACAGAAUCCAAAGCAGGCUCCAGGCUCAGAGCUGUCAGCACAGAGCCCGACAAGGGGCUUAAACCCACAAACCAUGAGAUCAUGACCUGAGCCAAAGUCGAAUGCUUAACUGGCUGAUCCACCCAGGAGCCCCAAGUCUUAGUGGAUUUUUUUAGAAGAUAGAUAUAAUGCAAGGUAUCUUUCCGACCAUAACAGAAUGAAGAUUGAAAUCAGUAAUGGAAGGAAAACUAGAAACUUCACAAAAUUAUGGAAACUAAACAAUCCACUUUUGUUUUUUAUAUAUCUUUACAUAUACAUAUAUAUUAUAUAUAUAUAUAUAAAACUUAAAUACAAACUCAGAUUUUAGAAAUUGUACAAAUAAAGCUAAAAACAUUUCACAUAUUUAUGAUUAGUUUUGAUAUUUAACAUCUCCUUUUACUGUACCGACUUAAAAUGUUUCCAUUUACUGAUGAGGACCAGAUAUGCCCAUCACCAUCUGAGCAACUUGCAGGGGAUUUAUGAUUUCUUCCAUGUUCUCUCGUCUCAAAACUCAACUGGUUCAAGUCUUGAAGCUAUUCUGGUUCUCACAGGUAUUUCUGGAAUAAAAGGAAUGUUUAUGGCUGAAUUCUUCAUUUUAUGCUUAUAAGCUGUAAGUUUGUAGAGGCUAUAAAUAUAGUCAACAACUUUGGACUUUAAACACCGGAGGCUCAAUGUGUUGUCCAAACAGCACAUUUUUAAACAACCAAUGAAUCAAAGAAUAAAUCAUGAAGAAAAUUAGAAAAUAAUCAAAGAUGAAUGGAAAAGAAAACACAACUUACCCAAACUAAUGAAUUCGUUGACAGUGGUGCUUAGGGAAAAUUUAUAAUUCUAAGCACAUUAAAAAGAUGAGUGAUCUCAAGUCAAUGACCUUAACUUCACAACUUAAGGAAUUAGAGAAAGAACAGACUAAGCACAGAGCUAGCAGAAGAAAGGAAAGAGUAAGGAUGAGAGCAGAGAAAAAUGAAAUGGAGGAUAGAAAAACAACAGAGAAAAUCAAAACAAAAUUUGGUUCUUUGGAAAGACCAACAUAAUUGACAAAACUGCAGCUGGAUGGACUAAUCAAAAAAGACAAGUUACUAAUAUCAGAAAUGAAAGUGGAAACAUUCAAACAAAUGUGAGAGAAAUAAAAAGGAUCAUAAGACAGUACUAUGAAUGAUUGUACACUGAGAAACUGGAUAACCUAAAUGAAAUGGACAGAUUCUUAGAAAUACAAAACCCACCAAGAAUAAAUCAUGAAGAGACAGAAAGUCUGAUUGACAUAAUUAGUAAGUAAAUUGAAUGAAUAGUAAAAAGUCUCUUGACAAAGAAAAGCCCUAGAACUGAUGGCUUCACUGGUGAAUUCUACCAAACAUCUAAAGAGCUAACACUGGGGUGCCUGGGUGGCUCACUCAGUAGAACACGGGACUCUUGAUCUUGGGGUUGUGAAUUUUAGUCCCACAUUGGGUGUCGAGAUUAUUUGAAAAUAAAAUCAUAAGGAGCACCCAGGUGGCUCAGUCAGUUAAGCUUCCAACUGUUGAUUUCAGCUCAGGUCACGAUCUCAUGGUUCAUGGGAUCAAGGCCAUGUCAGGCUCCAAGCUGACAGCACGGAGCCUGCUUGGAAUUCUCUCUCCGUCUCUCUCUGCCUCUCCCCUGCUUAUGUGCUCUAAAUAAUAAAUAAAGUCAUAAAGAAACACAAUAAAAUAUUUUAAAAAAUUAAAUGAAGAAAGAACUAAUACCAAUUAUUUUCAAACUCUCAAAACAUUGAAAAUGAGGGAACGUUUCCUAACUCAUUCUAAGGUUCCAGGGAAACUGCACAUCCACAAGCAGAAGAAUGACAUUGGAGCCUUACCUCAUAUGAAAAAAUUAACUCAAUACGGAUCAGAGACCUAAAUGUAAGACCUAAUACCACAAAACUCUUAGAGGAAAACAUAGGACUAAAGCUUCCCAACAUUUGGCAAUGAUUUCUAUUUUAAAAAAAAUUUUUUUUAAUGUUUAUUUCUGAGAGAGACAGAGCAUGAGCAGGAGAGGGAUAGAGAGCGAGCGAGACACAGAAUCCGAAGCAGGCUCCAGGCUCUGAGCUGUCAGCACCGAGCCCAACGCAGGGCUCGAACUCACGGACCGCGAGAUCAUGACCUGAGCUGAAGGUGGACGCUUCACCGACUGAGCCACCCACGCGCCCCAACAAUGAUUUCUUGGGUAGAAUAGCAAAGGCACAGGCAAAAACAAAACAAAACAAAUUACAUUUCAUGAAAAACUUUAUGUGCAUCAAAAGACACUCUCAACAGAGUAAAAAGGCACCCCGCAGAAUGGGAGAAAAUAUUGGCAGAUCACAUUUCUCAUAAGGGGUGAAGAUGCGGAAUAUGUAGAGAACCCCUAAAGCCCAACAACAAGGAACUUGACUCAAAAAUGGGUAAAGAACUUGAACAGACCUUCCUCACAGAAGUUAUGCAAAUGGCCAACAAGCCAUGAAAAGAUGCUUAACAGCGACAGACGUCAGGGAAACGCAAGUCAAAAUCACAAUGAGGUCCCACCUCACACGUGGUGGAGUGGCUGCUACCUGAAAAUAGCAAUCGUUGACGGGUGUGGGGACUGGAACCCUGCACACGGUCGGCGGGGAUAUAAAUGGUGCAGCCGUGUGGAAAACAGUGUUGGGGUUACUCGAAGAAUUAAAGAAAGAUGUGUGUCGCGUGUUCCAGCAGUUCCACUUCCAGGCAUUUGCCUGAAAGAAUUCCGAGCAGGGUCUUGAGGAGACGUCUGCACCCGCUGUUCACUGCAGCAUUAUUCACGAUAGCUAAGAAGCAGACGCAACCCAAGCGCGCGUGGACAGAUGAACGCAUUACGACAAACGGCAUGUCAUUCAGCCUCAAAUGAGAAACGUUCUGACACCUGCUGCAACACGGAUGAGCCUGGAGGACGCGAUGCUCAAUGGAAUGAGCCAGUCGCAGAAAGACAAAUCACGUAUGACUCCACUGGUAUGAGGCCACUAGGGAAGUCAGAUCGUAGGGACAGAAAGCAGAAUGCUGAGUACUAGGGGCUGGGAGAGGGGGUUGGAGUCAGUGUUCGACGGGGACAGAGUGUCCGUUUUACAGGUGGAAAAGAGCUCUGGACGUGGAGGAUGGGACACUAGGAAUGUAUUAAAUGCUACUGAACCAUGUAGUUAACAAUGGUUAAGAUGCCACGUUCCUCUCCGGAAUCUACUUUAUCGUCACAUCCUUAGCUCUUGGCAAAGUUCAGAACAAACAGACAAACAAAGGACAUUGAUGUGACACCGUUGUGCCAAAUCUGGCGAAAUCUCAGUGGCAGGGUUGGAGCAACGGUCACUGCAACUGUCUACACCUUAUGUGGAGGCGUAAGUCCUCUCUGAAGGUCAGUGUCAAUGCCCAAGGAGAGACGGGUAACGUGGUCAAACCUGUGAUCGCACCUGCUGCGUGCUGUGAUCCCGUCCGACACAUUUAGUGGGGAUGAUACUCCGACUCCUUCAGCUCAUUGGGAUUUCCUGGCUUUUUACUACAAUAAAAGUGGCUGUGUCACUGUCGCUA